GAGGGUAUAGCUCAAGUGGUAGACCACAUGCUUAGCAUGCACGAGGUCCUGGGUUCAAUCCCCUGUACCUCCU
rnacentral:tRNA from 1 species